rnacentral:lncRNA from 1 species
ACACCAAACUUUCCACCUACUCCCUUCCCCACCACACGCAAGAAUGCAUCUAACAUUCCAUUAUACAGGCAACAAUCUUUUCAUCAUCUUCAUUCUUCACUAAGGAACCGAAGAGCAGCCACGAGUUCUGCCAUAAGUACACUGCUCCGGCAGUGUUUUGCAAGGCGAUUCCAGCCAUCCAAAAGGUUCCCAAAAAUUCCCAAAUUAAUUUUGUAUCAUCUUUCAUAUGUUUUCUAUACUUUGGCAAAAUUUCAGAAGGUUUGAAGCUCUUAUGAUUUAUUUAUGAAUUUGUAAACAUCACUGCCCAAUCUGGAAUACAUUUUUGGUAAACAAUCUUUGGGAGGCCAUAAGUAAAGUUUCAAUCGGUGAAAACCUUUGAAACUUGAAUAUGUCACUCUAGACUCCCGUAUCUUUCUUUUGACAUCGGUCUCACAAUUUUUGAGUAAGGGAAACAACCGGUAUAAAUUCUUGAAAUCUAGUUCUUAUUCCUUGUACCAUCCAGUAGAUUUUACAAACCUACGACUUUGAGGUGGCAAAGGCCGACUUAAAUCUUUGAUUCUCAAGCCUAUCUUUCUACUUAAUAUUCACUGACAUGUUGGGAACUUACUUGUUCAGUUUUAGAAUUUUUGGUGAAGCCUAAAGUGGUUUUUCCGAUUUAUGUUCUAAAUCUGCCAAACUUGAACUCUUUUUGUGCACUGAACUUUAGACAGUCAUAUCUUCUAAACCAUGAAUGUUCUUAGAGUAAAUCCAACUGGAGAGUGUUAUGAUCUCUCCCUAGUUUCCAGAUUGACCCUUGGGGUUCCCAGUGGAGUUUUGUAAAGGGAGAUAUGAAUUUUUAAAGAAAGCCCACUGACUUGGUUGUAAUCUGGAAAUCUGAAAUUUUCAGAUUUUUGCUUGUUAAAUACCCAUCUUUGAGAGGGCAUAUCUUGCUCGUUUGAAUUUUUUUUCUAUUCGAUUCAAAUUGGAGAAUGAUCCUUGAAAUGUCUAGUUUCCAGAAUGUCUUUUGGAGCCUCAUUUGGAGAUCCGAGGUAGAUUUGAUGUCUGUUGCAAAACACCUCUUAAGAGCUCAAGUUGUUGAAUUAUUUUCUAUGUAUCAAAGUUUAUUUUAAAGGAUGUUUCAUGAAAGAUUUAGUAUAUGUGCGUAACAAGUUUGGGACUAUUUAUUUUAAAUGAGGUCCGUUCUUUAUUUAAAUUAUGAUGGACUUUUAAUGAAUAUUUUUGGGAUUAAACUCUUAUUUCUUGAUUUAUAUAAAUAAUUUUUUUAAGGACUUAUAAAUAUGAAUUUCGUAGGCCUACUGACCUACUGUGAUCGACGGUUUGUCGAUGUCUAAUAGCUUUGAAAAUUUUAUAGCAAGUCCCUACAUGAGUCUUGAGUACCCUGGUAAAAUUUCAGGCCAUUCCAACUUCGUUUGAUACCUCUUUAAAAUGCAAAACCUAAACUGCACAUUACUACCGAGAAUUUCAGAGAACAGAUGAAAGAGUCAUUUAUUUCAGUAGCUUCAUGUGUGAUCUAGCUUUCCAAAGUUUUAUGGUAUUAACCUUAUUGUGUUAGAUAGAUAUCCACCAAAGUCGAGCCCAGUUUGACAACGUUUACUAUUUUUCAAAAAUCCAAGUUUUCGAUUGUUCAAAACUGCCGAACAUGGUAGAUCGUGGUAAAAACGUCAUAUCUCUCAAACCACUUGGAGUUUUCGACUCUACUUUUUUUUAUAUGAAACUAGAUUCGAAGAUCUUUCUUUCGGUAUGAGUCUCGAGUCCAGGAGAUGUCGGAGUCAGAACAGAUUAAAUUUUGAAGUUGAGUCAGUGUAAAAACAGAGCAUGUUUUGAUGAUGUUUGAUUGUGAUUCUUAUGUGCCUUAUGUGUUUGUGUUGCCUAUGUGUUUGAAUGAGAUUAGACGAGGUAUGAUUGAUUUUUGACUUGUCUUUAAUGUAACGAAUUAUGGAUGCUAGAACCCUAAAACACUAAAAGAUACCCUAGGCACGUAGAAUUAGACUUUGUCUUAUGACAAUUACUUCACGAACUUAUCGACUCUUCAUCAAUGAAGGUCCGGGCGACAGAAAGUGAAGCCGAAGAAGAAACGACUCCACGCCAGCUUUAAGAACAAUUGAGGUGGGCAAUUUCUUACGCGUAAAUAAAAUGCUAUGCAUGUGUUAUGCUUUAAAAUGCAAAUUGGAUCUUCAAGUAUGGUAUGCUUUAUUACGCUUAAAUGAGUUAAGCUUUAUUAUGCUGCACGUUAAAUGAUUUACGCUAUGCUGUUUAUACUAUUUACGCCCUAUGUAAUUUACGCUUGAUUACACUUAUUUACGCUUGAAUGCUUUACGCUGAUAAGUUUAUGCUUAUGUUUGAUGCUUGCGUCUGUUGGGGGAGGCCUCCCUCAACAGUACGAUGCCGUGUCCGCUGAGGAGGGCCUUCCUCACGGCGCGAUGCCCGUGUCCGCUGAGAGAGGCCUCUCUCGCGGCGCGAUGCCAGUAUGCCAGUGUUACAGCGUCUAUUGGGGGAGGCCUCCCUCAAUAGUACGAUGCCGUGACCGCUGAGGGAGGCCCCCUUCACGGCGCGAUGCCCGUGUUCGUUGGGGAAGGCCUUCUCCACGACACGAUGCGUGUUUAUGAUUGUUAAUGAUGAAGAAUGCGCUCAUGCUGUUUAUGAAUUUGGAAAUGUUUAAUAAGCAAAUGAUAUGAAAAAAACUUAUGCCUCUUAUGCGAUGUUGUGUUUUGUUAUGUUAUAUGCUUGGCAACUGCCCACUAAGUACUUUUGUACUUAGCCCUUCGAUGUUUAUGAUUGUGCAGGUUGAGCUGUGAUGGGCGAUGAAGUGUUGCUGAGUGGAGUUUUUGUCGAACUUAAAGUAGGCUCAGAAAGGAUACAUGUCUUCAUACAUGUAUCUCAGUUAUGCAUUCCGCUGUAAACACUGAUUAUUUCAGUUACGCCUUCCGUUGCAAACUCUGAUAAUGUUUUAGCCAAGCCCCUAACAAUGCCUUUUUCCUUUUUAAGGAAUAUUUCUCGCGUAUUCAAGCUCUUUGAGUAUUCUUUUAUGCGCCCCUUUCUCAACCCGCUUCUUUAUUUUCCUUCCCCAGUCAUGGUUUUCCCGGAUUAAUUAUCCUUAAUUAAGGCCGGUCGUGACAGAGUGGUAUCAGAGCAGUUCGUUUGCUCUGAGCCUAAGAGUUUAUUUAAGCCAAACUUAGAAUGGAUCACUAAAGUGUCUAGAUUUCAAUCGACAAAGCUCAGCACUUCAUCGCAUCACACUCAACGAAGCAGAAUGGUAAGCUAUUCCAAGUUUUGAGUUAAUGUUUACAAAAAGUGAGAACUAUCGUAAUAACAAAGUGAGUAACUGUCAAUAGCUUUGUUAUGUUGUUAUUGAAUGAAAUGAUUUACGCAAGUGCGAUUAAGUAUGCCUAUGGAAUGAGUCCCUAUGAACAUAGAGCUAUUAAGUUAUGAGAUCACCACUACUACAGAACAUAGAAGCAAACAUAGAAGAAAUUAGAUUGUAUCUUUUGGUGGCUAUAGUGAAGGCAGCAAGAUAAGUGAUGCAUAUAGAAUAAUUUUUAAGCUCAUGAUUUUAUAGCCACUAUAAAUCUCCAUGACUUAUGUUUAAGUAUCCAAUUUAGAUGAUGUGAUAUUAUAUGCUUAAGAAUUGUUAUGACUCAUGGAUUUGAGAUGCUAAGGACCCUUAAAGCUUACUACAUCAAUGUUGUCAUUGGAGUUAUGACUUGUUUACAAGUUAGAAUAAGUUGACCUUUACAAGAANNNNNNNNNNNNNNNNNNNNNNNNNNNNNNNNNGUUAACCUGUACAAGAAUUCUUUUGAGGCUUGUAUUAGAUUAUGCUAGAGUGUACUAAUUGGCACAUCUUUGCUAUCAGAAUGCCGCCUAAGAGAGGACGCCCUGCGAGAAACAAUAACAAUCGCAGAAACCGUAACGCUGUACCCGAAGAACCACAAGAUGCUCGAGGACAUAACCCAUCCCCUCCGCCCCCAACUAGGAGAGUCGAAGAACUCUUUUUAAGGCAGAACCCACCUACGUUUGACGGAACGAGUGAACCAGCUGAAGCUGAGAUUUGGGUGCGUGCAAUGGAACGCAUUUUCAACUUUCUACGUUGUACUGAUGAGGAGCGCCUAUCUUGCGUCUCAUUCCAGCUAACAGGAUCAGCUGAUUUCUGGUGGGAAGCACGUCGAAAAAUUCUGACACCGGAACAAUGGGCAAGUUAUACUUGGGAAGAUUUUAAGACAGGAUUAUAUGAUAAAUAUAUUCCGAAAAGCUAUAGGAAGAAGAAAGAAGCUGAGUUCUACGAGUUAAAGCAAGGAAAGAAAUCUGUGGUUGAAUACGACAAGGAAUUCUGCAACCUGUCGAGGUUUGCUCCACAACAAGUGGACACAGAUGAGAAGAUGGCAGAGAAAUUUUGUGCCGGACUGCGGUACGAAAUUAAGAUGGCUCUAGCAAGCCACGGAGGACUCUCAUACACGGAGUCUCUGAACAGGGCACUUGACAUUGAAGCUGCAAUGCCGUCGGACAAGUCAGCCCCAUUGUUGAUCUCAACGCCAAAUGAUCCACCAGUAGCCUCACAUACUCUCAAAGGGAAGCGCAAGUGGGACAACAACGAAGACAAUAUCAAUCAGACUAGUAAGAAAGUGUGGCAAGAAAAGGAACGGGCCGAACAGUUUAUUCAACCAAGGUACGAGGCACAGACUAACCUCGAGCCAACUGGAGGUAACCAAGGUCAGAAAGGAAUUUCACCUUGCCCAAAUUGCGGUAAGAUGCAUAGGGGUAUCUGUCGGGCUGGAACUAACGGUUGUUACAAUUGUGGCCAAAAAGGUCACUACUCCACGCAAUGCCCCAAUAGACAACGAGGUUCAGCAGUUGGGAACACCCGCACCCCCUUGCCAGCAAUACGUGGACACUUGCGAAAUCAGCCUCAAUCACAUCAGUGAAAAUCUUAUGGAGACACCGCAGACAAGAAAAGCUACGUGGGAGCUUGAAAACAAGAUGAAGGAAAAAUACCCUGAACUGUUUUAGCAGAGAUAUGCAAAUUUCGGGACGAAAUUUUUGUUAAGAGGGGUAGUAUGUAGUAGCCCGCUCUUUUAUUUAUGAUAAAAACUAGUAAAUGCAAUUUUUAUAAAUGAAUCCAGUUUAUGGUCCUGAUUUUUUUUUUUAUCAGAGACGGAGUUAUUAUUUUAGCUUUAUACUUUUAUAACGUAUAAGAAAAACGCGACGAGGAUUAUUGAGCCAUUCAAUAAUUUAUUAUCCAGUUUGAUAACUGACUUAGCAAAGUCAAGUUAUUAAUUUAUAUGCGAUAGAAAUAGUAUUUCUAUUAUUUACUUGAAGUCGUGAUUAAUUUUCGACUUAUAAAACGAAUUAUAAAAUAUGUAAUUCGUAGAGAGUUAUAACGAAGCGUCGUUAUUUAGUAGAACCCAAUAUUAGUUUUACAAAUACUUGUAACUUCAAUACUUUACAAAUCAUUAUUUUUCCACUCCCUAAUGUUUCCUACACUAUAUACGCAUCCACUCCACCAAAUUCCAUUAUACCUACCUCCCCACCACUACUUUACUUUUCCCCCACCACAUUAGUGCACCACCAACUCCACUACCCUAUGCUUCCCACCAACUCCAACACUUCACCCAUUCCUUCUAUUUCGCACCAGCAAUCACAAAGAGAAGGAAGACUUGGCUAAACUACUUUGCCAAGAUUUCAAGCUGCUCCAGUCCAGUAGUACCCCAACACUCGAAGCUAGAGUUUAUUGGGUGAAAAACCGUGCAUGAGGUAAGGCAGCGAAUCUGCCAUAAGCACACUGCUCCGGCAGUGUUUUGCAAGGCGAUUCCAGCCAUCCAAACGGUUCCCAAAAAUUCCCAAAUUAAUUUUGUAUCAUCUUUCAUAUGUUUUCUAUACUUUGGUAAAAUUUCAGAAGGUUUGAAGCUCUUAUGAUUUAUUUAUGAAUUUGUAAACAUCACUGCCCAUCUGGAAUACAUUUUUGGUAAACAAUCUUUGGGAGGCCAUAAGUAAAGUUUCAAUCGGUGAAAACCUUUGAAACUUGAAUAUGUCACUCUAGACUUCCGUAUCUUUCUUUUGAAAUCGGCCUCACCAUUUUUGAGUAAGGGAAACAACCGGUAUAAAUUCUUGAAAUCUAGUUCUUAUUCCUUGUACCAUCCAGUAGAUUUUACAAACCUACGAAUUUGAGGUGGCAAAUACCGACUUAAAUCUUUGAUUCUCAAGUCUAUCUUUCUACUGAAUAUUCACUGACAUGUUGGGAACUUACUUGUUCAGUUUUAGAAUUUUUGGUGAAGCCUAAAGUGGUUUUUCCGAUUUAUGUUCUGAAUCUGCCAAACUUGAACGCUUUUUGUGCACUGAACUUUAGACAGUCAUAUCUUCUAAACCAUGAAUGUUCUUAGAGUAAAUCCAACUGGAGAGUGUUAUGAUCUCUCCCUAGUUUCCAGAUUGACCCUUGGGGUUCCCAGUGGAGUUUUGUAAAGGGAGAUAUGAAUUUUUAAAGAAAGCCCACUGACUUGGUUGUAAUCUGGAAAUCUGAAAUUUUCAGAUUUUUGCUUGUUAAAUACCCAUCUUUGAGAGGGCAUAUCUUGCUCGUUUGAAUUGUUUUUCAUUCGAUUCAAAUUGGAGAAUGAUCCUUGAAAUGUCUAGUUUCCAGAAUGUCUUUUGGAGCCUCAUUUGGAGAUCCGAGGCAGAUUUGGUGUCUGUUGCAAAACAACCCCUUAAGAGCUCAAGUUGUUGAAUUAUUUUCUAUGUAUCAAAGUUUAUUUUAAAGGAUGUUUCAUGAAAGAUUUAGUAUAUGUGCGUAACAAGUUUGGGACUAUUUAUUUUAAAUGAGGUCCGUUCUUUAUUUAAAUUAUGAUGGACUUUUAAUGAAUAUUUUUGGGAUUAAACUCUUAUUUCUUGAUUUAUAUAAAUUAUUUUUUUAAGGACUUAUAAAUAUGAAUUUCGUAGGCCUACUGACCUACUGUGAUCGACGGUUUGUCGAUGUCUAAUAGCUUUGAAAAUUUUAUAGCAAGUCCCUACAUGAGUCUUGAGUACCCUGGUAAAAUUUCAAGCCAUUCCAACUUCGUUUGAUACUUCUUUAAAAUGCAAAACCUAAACUGCACAUUACUACCGAGAAUUUCAGAGAACAGAUGAAAGAGUCAUUUAUUUCAGUAGCUUCCUGUGUGAUCUAGCUUUCCAAAUUUUUAUGGUAUUAACCUUAUUGUGUUAGCUAGAUAUCCACCAAAGUUGAGCCCAGUUUGACAACGUUUACUAUUUUUCAAAAAUCCAAGUUUUCGAUUGUUCAAAACUGCCGAACAUGGUAGAUCGUGGUAAAAACGUCAUAUCUCUCAAACCACUUGGAGUUUUCGACUCUACUUUUUUUUAUAUGAAACUAGAUUCGAAGAUCUUUCUUUCGGUAUGAGUCUCGAGUCCAGGAGAUGUCGGAGUCAGAACAGAUUAAAUUUUGAAGUUGAGUCAGUGUAAAAACAGAGCAUGUUUUGAUGAUGUUUGAUUGUGAUUCUUAUGUGCCUUAUGUGUUUGUGUUGCCUAUGUGUUUGAAUGAGAUUAGACGAGGUAUGAUUGAUUUUUGACUGUCUUUAAUGUAACGAAUUAUGGAUGCUAGAACCCUAAAACACUAAAAGAUACCCUAGGCACGUAGAAUUAGACUUUGUCUUAUGACAAUUACUUCACGAACUUAUCGACUCUUCAUCAAUGAAGGUCCGGGCGACAGAAAGUGAAGCCGAAGAAGAAACGACUCCACGCCAGCUUUAAGAACAAUUGAGGUGGGCAAUUUCUUACGCGUAAAUAAAAUGCUAUGCAUGUGUUAUGCUUUAAAAUGCAAAUUGGAUCUUCAAGUAUGGUAUGCUUUAUUACGCUUAAAUGAGUUAAGCUUUAUUAUGCUGCACGUUAAAUGAUUUACGCACUGUAUAUAUUUACGCUAUGAUUACGCUUAUUUACGCUUGAAUGCUUUACGCUGAUAAGUUUAUGCUUAUGUUUGAUGCUUGCGUCUGUUGGGGGAGGCCUCCCUCAACAGUACGAUGCCGUGUCCGCUGAGGAGGGCCUUCCUCACGGCGCGAUGCCCGUGUCCGCGGAGAGAGGCCUCUCUCGCGGCGCGAUGCCAGUAUGCCAGUGUUACAGCGUCUAUUGGGGAGGCCUCCUCAAUAGUACGAUGCCGUGACCGCUGAGGGAGGCUCCCUCUCACGGCGCGAUGCCCGUGUUCGUUGGGGAAGGCCUUCUCCACGACACGAUGUUUGUUAAUGAAGAUUGAUGAUGAAGAAUGCCCUUAUGCUAUUUAUGAAUUUGGAAAUGUUUAAUGAGCAAAGGAUAUGAAAGAAACUCAUGCCUCUUAUGCGAUAUUGUGAAAUUGUUAAUGAUGUUAUGUUAUAUGCUUGGCAACUGCCCACUAAGUACUCUUGUACUUAGCCCUUCGAUGUUUAUGUUUGUGCAGGUUGAGCUGUGAUGGGCGAUGAAGUGUUGUUGCUGAGUGGAGUUUUUGUUGAACUUAAAGUAGGCUCAGAAAGGAUACAUGUCUUCAUACAUGUAUCUCAGUUAUGCUUUCCGCUGUAAACACUGAUUAUUUCAGUUACGCCUUCCGUUGCAAACUCUGAUAAUAUUUUAGCCAAGCCCCUAACGAUGCCUUUUCCUUUUAAGGAAUAUUUCACGCGUAUCCAAGCUCUUUGAGUAUUCUUUUAUGCACCCCUUUCUAAACCCGCUUCUUAAUUUCCCUUCCCCAGUCAUGGUUUUCCCGGAUUAAUUAUCUUUAAUUAAGGCCGGUCGUGAC